rnacentral:rRNA from 1 species
UACAGAGGUGGCAAGCGUUGUUCGGAAUUACUGGGCGUAAAGGGCGCGUAGGCGGUCAGGUCAGUCCCGUGUGAAAUCCCUCGGCUCAACUGAGGAACCGCACGGGAAACUGCCUGGCUUGAGUUCGGGAGAGGGAAGCGGAAUUCCGGGUGUAGCGGUGAAAUGCGUAGAUAUCCGGAGGAACACCGGUGGCGAAGGCGGCUUCCUGGACCGACACUGACGCUGAGGCGCGAAAGCUAGGGGAGCAAACGGG